rnacentral:lncRNA from 1 species
UUCCAUCUAUACGGACAUUUUAGUCUAGUAAGAACCCCCUAAGUAAUCCCAUUUGUUAAAGGGGGGACAAACUCCCCAUAAAAGCUAGGCUUACUUGAAAGGCUAAGUAAAAGACUUGCCAUCUCCCACCACCCCUACUAAUCAGUUAGUUAGAAGUGAAAUUCCUUUUCGGCUACCUAUAUGCAAGCAAUCUAUUCCUUACCGUAGCUUGACUUAUAUAGGUAGAGAAAGAAUGUCCAUAAGAAGAAGACGACAGUUUUUUU